CCAUGAAAAACAGGCAGGGGUUUGGGACAGUUUUAUUUUUUUAGGAAAAGACAGUUUUUCAGGAAAUUGUUUCUCUUUUUGCAGUCAUUUUGUAAAUGAGGCCUUUCCCAAUGUCAAUCCAUCUACAUAUUUAAAUGAAAUUCAGCAGUGAUGUAACUUUGUAACAAACUCUAUUCUGACAAAAGAUUCUUUCUGAAGAGUUGAGCAUUUCUGCUGCUGUCUGACUUUUCUUAUGACUGCAUGCCUUGUAUACCCUCUGUAAAACACUCCUAUUUGACAACAUACAAUGUCAUACAUCUAGAUGGGAAAUGUUUGCUCAGUGAUAGUCAUUGCUUGCUCACACAGCCAAAAGAGGAUGUUAAGACAAGUCAUACUGAAUGUAUUUCAGGUUUCCGGGUACCUGUGAGAGACCAUUCUAAGAGCACAGAAGCCAUCCAGAGAGAGAGGGAUGCCUGGGUCUCAGUCUGAGCACAUCUAUGAGGAUCCUAGGGUUAUAGAUCUAAGAAUCUAUGAUAAUACCAAAUACAUUAUAGAGGAGAGCAAAUCCACAGUCAGAGAAGGCUUCAGCGUAUCAGAUCCAGUGUUGGGUGCAGCAGAUCAGCUAUCAGGGGGAGGGAAGGUGCCAACAAUUCAUACGACCUCCAGCAAAACCUGUCCCGAAAUCUCGCAGCCCUGUAAAAGUAAUCUGUGAAUGUCCCUGGUUCUGUAGUUGUGCCUGUCCCUGGUCCUGCCCCUGUUUCUGUUCCCACCACCCUUGUGAUCCCAGCACCCUCCUCCAUCCCUAUGCCUCCUCCAUUUACCUUAAAUGAACCCAGUACAAAACCCUUAACAGAGCGAUCCAGGGAUUUUCAUUGGGAGGAAGUUUGUUCAGAUAAGUUACUACUACGGAAGUGUUUUUUUAAUCCCUAUUUAUUACACUACAUUUGUAAGCAUGUAAUAUAGUCAUGCAAAUUGACAAUGUUAUAUGAUAUUGCAUUAUGUUAUAUUUAAGAAAUAAUGCACGAGUGGUGUGGUAUAUGGUCAAUAUACUACGGCUAAGGGCUGUUCUUAGGCAGGACGCACCCCUUAGCCGUGGUAUAUUGGCCAUAUACCACAAACCCCCAAGGUGCCUUAAUGCUAUUAUAAACUGGUUAUCAACGUAAUUAGAGCAGUAAAAAUACAUGUUUUGUCAUACCAGUGGUAUACGGUCUGAUAUACCACCGCUGUCAGCCAAUCAGCAUUCAGGGCUCCAACCACCCAGUUUAUAAUAUGGUGUAUUACCUCAUAUUACACUACACUAGAGUCUGAUUCGUUAGAAGUUUUUGUCAUGAUUAUCAGAUAGUUUGCAAUGAUAAAUAAGGAAGUACCUAUUUUCCAAGUCCUAAUUUCCUUAAACACUAUAGGAAAUUAUUCGCUGCAGUGUCUGUCAGUGUCUUGUGCUUUCCAAGUGCAUUGCAUUUCAUAGAGAAUACAGCUUGUCUCCGUGCCGAUUAUGAUUGGUCUCUCUCAGCAGAUGGAGAAAUCAUUCUGGACACGGGGAAAUGCUGGGAAGAUUGAAAUGGACACGUCACGCUUGUACGAGCAAUUUGCAGUUCAAGAUUUUGGAACAUUCGGUGGGAUCACCGAGCACAGCAAUAACUUCCACAUCAUGCUCAACACGAAGGUGGCACACAACUUUAAUAUCUUCCUCAAGUUUCCCUGUGCAGCCAGGAGAACUGAAAGACAAACUGUUCUUCGUUAAUGAGGUUGAGGGAGGCUUCUCUGAUGAACAGAUCACUUCCCCGAGGAGAUGUGUAAUAUUCCUUACCUAAGCACCAGACUGGAUCUGCUGAUGACUCUGAGAGCUUCCCGUAAGCAUGGAGGAUCUGCAGCCAGUGAGUUCACUUUGGCUCUGUUGCAAAAUCAACUUUAGUAUUUCAACACUAGCAUGCUACUGAAGCAAUGUGUAGGACACAAGGUUCUCUCUAGGAUUUUUUUAACAAGGCGAUGCUGCCGUGUACAGCCUGAGGGGGAGGCCCUUUGAACGUUGGGUUUUUGUACACUUGUAACUGCCAUUUCCUGCAAAACAUGGCUGUAUUGGAUAACAAAUAAAGUGGCACAGCACCUCUCUUACAUUCUUUGAGGAGAACCCUGGGAUUAAUAACUCACUGUGACCAUUUGCUACAGAUGCAGAUAGAUAGGUAGUUCAUUCAUUAGUGAAUAGAGGUUGACUAGACUUGGAGUAGAAGCAAAAUACCGGCAGUGCUUUCAGAAAGUAUUCGCACCCCUUGACUUUUUCCACAUUUUGUUGUGUUCAGCCGGCAUACUGUGUUUACUGUAUACUGCAUGAAGGUUCCAUAUAAUACUGUGAGACACCAACACCUGCUUGAGCCCUGUUUAGUUUGUUGGUGGAAUCUUGGUUAGUUGUCACAUUGUAUGCUUGACCUCUACUGUAGGUCUGUUCUGUACCUCUGAACAAAUAGGACAAUGUAUAGGCUCUCAUGAGCCCAGUAGUUUUUUCAUUGUCUGUCCGGCUACUCUUUACACAGUUCAACUUAAAUUUCAUUAUUGGAUUUGUCUCUCUUCUCCUCAUGCUUUCUCUUACUCAUAUUAUAGUUGAAAACUAUUGGAGGGAAAUGGGCUUAUUGUUGUAGGGUGCAUAUGAGUUUGGUGCCCAGAUGUUUGUGUCUUGAAAGGUGGGAGGCAGGUAAUCCCUCAGAUGAAGCAUCUCGGAGCUGAACACAAUGUGACCACAAACAAGGAGAGGCCUGGGUUCUUCUUCUCUGAACAGUUUAAGUCCUGGGAUUCUGUGACAUGACAGACUUUUUAAGCCUAUAACAUUGAGGAUUUGGCUGCCAUCUGACUGGCAGGGCACUUGGAUGGAAAAUAGAGAACUCAGCCCAGGGAGGGAAGGGGAACGCUUUCACACUCAAGGUGAGCUUUGUCUGCUCAACACCGAAUUAUGAAUUUCAUCCGGCAUUGUAGGCGCUUCCUUAUACGUAUAAAUUGUUAAUGCCUAAGCAGCUGCUUUUGUGGAUUAAGAUUGAUUAGAGAAGGAAAUAAAAUGUGGAUAUAACAACAAACGCCUAAGGCAACAGGGACCUUGUGCUAAGGAAGCCUUGAUUUACUUGUGAUCCUUGCAAAUCAUGUUGCUAGGAGUGCAGUACAAGGUUGCCCCCUUGAAGACCUGAUUUGCAUACUCCGAUAUGUGUUUGCUGCUCUGAGAAGGCUUGAGGAGGUCCCACUGGUGUGCUAUGGGAAGUUACUCUGUAAACUUGAGCAUAUGGUUGGGUGUUGUAUCAGACACCCACCUUUGCUAAGUGGGGUAGUUUUUCCAGAGGGCUUCUCUGUUUCCCCACAACCUCCCCACCUCACUUCUGUCCUUAACUCACGAGCAGACAGGGGAAUUCUAUCUUGUUGAGAGAGAUUGCAAACAUAAUGUAAUAUUUAUUCUAUUUUUCUAUAUAGCUGCCAUUCUAUGGAUAUUGUGUAGUGUGCACCCUGUUUCUUAGAAUGAUUGUGGAAAUAAGAUACAAUUGCUUACAGGAUGGUCAAAACCUAUGUAGUAUGAAUGAUAACAAAUAAUGUAAUUCGAAAAACAUAAUAUGAUGAAAAUAUAAUUACUUUCGCAAUGUAAAACAAGUAAAUCUACUUGUUUACCACAACAUUGUUCAUGUACCCAAGAAAGCGAAGGUAACUGAACUAAAUGACUAUCACCGAGUAGCACUCACUUCUGUCACCAUGAAGUGCUUUGACAGGCUAGUUAAGGAUCACCUUACCUCACCCGACACCCUAGACCCACUGCAAUAUGCAUACCGCACCAAUUGAUCAGCGGAUGAUGCAUUCGCCAUCGCACUGCACACUGCCCUAUCCCAUCUGGACAAUAGUAAUGCCUAUGUAAGAAUGCUCUUCAUUAACAGCGCAGCCUUCAACACCAUCAUUAAGCUCAGGGCCCUUAGUCUGAACCCCGACCUGUGCAACUGGGUCCUGUACUUCCUGACGGGCCUCCCCCAGGUGGUGAAGGUAAGCAACAACACCUCCACUACGCUGAUCCUCAACACAGGGGCCCCACAAGGGUGCGUGUUAAGACCCUUCCUGUGCUCCUUGUUCACCCACGACUAUGUGGCCAUGCACGCCUCCAGCUCAAUCAUCAAGUUUACCAACACGUGGUUUACUAACACGAGUGGUAGGCUUGAUUACCAACAAUGACGAGGCAGCCUACAGGGAGUAGAUGAGGUCCCUGGCAGAGUGGUGCCGGGAAAAUAACUUCUCCUUCAACGUCAACAAAACUAAGGAGCUGAUUGUGGAUUUCAGGAGACAGCAGACGGAGCACACCCCCAUCCAUAUCGACGGGCCACAGUGAAGGUGAAAAGCUUCAAGUUCCUCUGUGUACACAUCACUGACAAUCUGAAAUUGUCCACCACACAGAUAGUGUGGUGAAGAAGGCGUAAGACUUCUUCAACCUCAGGAGGCUAAGGACAUUUGGCUAUCAUCCAGAAGCUGAUUAACCAGAAGAUCAGGAUGUGCACGCAGUUAUACGGCUCCAGGUCGUUCAUCUCCGUGCUGCAGUACCUGCUGUCCAUCGGCAAUUGCCUCAACGAGAACGCAGGGAAGGGAAAGGACAAGGGAUUCCACCUCUCCUCUCCUACACCUCUCCUCUCCUCUGUUGUCGCCUGACCUGUGGUGAAGUGUCUAGCACUAGGCUAAUAAGACUUCUCGUGGAUAUACACAGAGGGAUCUAACUCCUCCCUUCAAUUUCUCCUGUUUACUCUCUGUCAAUUUAUUCCUAGUUAUAUGUAAAUAUUUCAACCUCAAUUACCUUGUACCCCUGCAUAUUGACUCAGCACUGGGACCCUGUGUAUAUAGCCAAGUUGUCAAUACUCAUUGUCUGCCUAUUAUCACUUUUGUUAUUACGUGUUUUACUUUUCUAUUAUUUCAGUAAUAAUAGAAAAGUAAGCAUUUCACUGUUAUUCCACACCUGUUUACGAAGCAUGUGACGAAUACAAUUUUAUUCAAAUUUCUUCCGUCCAUCCUCUGCCUGGUCAUCUGAGUCCAACUCAGCUAGGGUCAUUCCUCCUAGUGUGUCUGAUACGAAGGUGAUUGUAUCACCGCCUGGCUUCACAAAUCAAAUGGAACAUCUCACCAUGGCUCAGACACUGGACAAGUCGACCGCUAGGUACCCCACAGUGACAGUAACAACAGCAACUUUAAUCUUGCUGGACCUUUUCCGUCAACUCUCAAUUUUGAAAGUCUUUGUUUCGGGAUUAGACUCAUUGUUUAUUAGACAUGUGGAUUUCCAAGUUUUGUCAAUUUGUACAGGAUGAUUUAAGAUCUCCCUGAGCUAUUAGCAUAGGGUCUCAGAGGAUAUCGGCAGUUUCUAUAGAUUUCCUCCGGAACUGCUGCUGUGCUGCACUGGUCCCUUGAUGGGAUGAUAUAAGGGCACUUUGCCACAGAUGUAAAAUGCUUCCUCUCCAUCUAACGAGACUGCCGUCUCUUACACCCAUACUCCCACAGAGGGUUCGAAUGUGAAACAGAGCGGGCUAAAUUCACACGAACACAUUCUUAGGGUUGUCUGUGAAAUCAAUGGCUGGGUCGGAAUGUUGAUGUAGUAACUGUAAGAUAAGAAAAAGCCAUAGAGGUUGUGUUGGAUUAGUGGUUGUUGUUCUUGUCUUCAGUUGCUGCUCUAUGCAUCUCUUCUAGCCUGGCCCUCAGGGGAAUGCCCUGGCCCUGAAAUUGGGACAACAACGCAACCUAGAAAAGACUGUGGAAUAAAUCCCAUCACAUGAUUUGCGAGAGGGGUCCCCCUUCCAUUUCAAUUAAGACAGAAGGCACAAGCCACUGUUGUGCAGCAAGGCUUGCAUUUUGGAAAAAAUAUCAUUAACAUUUUAUAUAAACAGGUUUAAAAUGGAUGCGUUUUAUAGGUUUUGUCCAAGUAUUUAAUUCACAGAAAAAGCUCACCACAGUCUAAGGAAACAACGUAUUACGGCUCUACUGAAGGUGAUAAGGACUCUGCAUGUAACAUGCAAGCUUUUGUGAUGUCUUUGUUAUGAAACAGUUUUUUGUUUGAAUUUGUUUUGAACUCAGAUUGAUAGGAAACACAGCCAUUAUAUGAGUAACAAAUGUAUUAACCAAUACCACAGCAAUCGGUUGACCUUGUGAGCAUAGUACCCACAUUCUUCCCCAACAGAAACACACAGAAUUGUAAGGGUUAAUGUUGGGUUGUUGAUACAUGGCUCCAGUAACACAGUGCCUAAAUGGAAGCGUAGAGAGAUUCAUUUUUGUGUGGUAAGGAUAACAGAAGCUGCACCUUGACCGACUAUUGUUUGGUUGGCCUUGGGGAAAGGCACUUUCUUUUGUGAAUGCAGCAUACAUGAAUUUGUAAAUUCUUCUGCUGUGUAUCUCAAGGCCUUAUAGGAACAGUAGUUGUGUGGCUCAGGCAGGACUGCUGCAGUUGUACCUGCAUGCCCUUCUCUCACAUUCUCUGAAGGUCUCUGUGUAGACUGAAAUGGCACACCCCACAGCUCUCCCAGCUCCAUGGGACAGACAGGAAGUUCACCUUGCUGCAUGCCCUUGUGGAGCAGAUCAUGUUGCACGAAGCCGGCUUGGCCACUUUUCCCCAAGAGUUGGCGGAAUUCGAAACUGUCCCUGGAGCUUCCAUUAAAGGCCUAACUGCUGAAGUGGAUGAUGAGCGCAUCAUAGUGUGGCGGUGAAGGGAAUUUCCAUUUGUCAGGCAUAUUGCUAAAUUCGGAGAGCCAAUGGAUCAAGAUUCUCAGGAGCUGUUUGGAUUAGUGUGCCCGUUUGUCAAUGACUUCAAGAGGACACAUACUGAAAUCAGAUAACAAUAUUUGCUGUCCUUGCGAUACUAUCUAUGUAAAUUCAGCCAGUCUGAAUAGAAUGUAGUUAUAAUUUGUGUACCACACAAGCUGUGCUAUUUCAGUAGUAAAAAAAACCUGGCAUUCUACUGAGAAACAUAACUCACAGCUGUGACUAAAAUUAUGAUCAGGCGGCUAGACUUGAGUACUGCAAUUUCAGUAGGAAAACAUUUUAGUGUACAGUACUAUGCUGAAAUUACAACAAGUCUACACUGAGUGUACAAAACAUGCUCUUACUAUGACAUAGACUUACCAGGUGAAUCCCGGUGAAAGCUCUGAUCCCUUAUUGAUGUCACUUGUUAAAUCCACUUCAAUCAGUAUAGAUGAAAGGGAGGAGACAGGUUAAAGACGGAUUUUUCAACCUCGAGACAUGGAAUGUGUAUGUGUGCCAUUGAGAGGGUGAAUGGGCAAGACAAAAGAUUUUAAGCGCCUUUUGAACGGGGUAUGGUAGUAGGUGCCAGGCGCACCAGUAUGUGUCAAGAACUGCAACGCUGCUGGGUAUUUCAUGCUCAACAGUUUCCCAUGUAUAUCAAGAAUGAUCCAUCACCCACAGCACAUCCGGCCAACUUGACACAACUGUGGGAAACGUUGGAGUCAACAUGGGUCAGCAUCCCUAUGGAACACUUUCGAUACGUUGUAGAGUCCAUUCCCAGACAAAUUGAGGCUGUUCUGGGGGCAAAAGGGGGUGUUUGUAUACUCAAUGUAUAACAGCUAUGUGGUUGGGGACCAUAGACUAACUGUUAGUUGGGAUUCAUUGUGACAAAUUGUCUGAAAUCGAUUGAAAUAAUUAAUUGAAUUGAACUUAUGAGACAGUUCGGGGAAUGUCAGCACUUGAUUUUUCACAGCUAUCUGUCUGCUGGCAAGGGAACCUAAUCACAAAAAACACUCACACACUAGCCUUCUGAAAACAGUCCAUUUUGAUUACCUAAUUUGUCUUGUGUUGGUUGGAGACAGAGAUUUCAUAUUCCAGUACCUCAGGAAUAGCUCCAAGACCCUUCUCUGAUUCAAGACAACAUCUGGUGCUGUUUGCCAUUUAAAAUGUUUCCCCCUGUCCCUUCUCUCUUGUAAUUGGUAUUGCAGCAGCAAAAUGGGUGCUGUUAGCAACAGCUUGAAAAUACUUUAGAUUGAUUUUGAGAGAGAGAGUGUGUGUCUUGAUAUUUUAAUUAGAGGACUGAAAAAAAGCAGCAUUGGUUAGUUGGUCUAACUGUGAACCAACAAUAUAAUGAUCCAGGACCCCAUGCUGGGGUGUUUAAUUCAUAAAGCCGUACAUGUAAAACAAAAAAUAUAAAAUGUAAAUUAACUAUUUAUAUAAAAAAUGCUGGUGAAUGAUUUCAGUUAGAAAAUGGAGAGAGAACAUUUCAUUAAAUGUGACCUUCACUCGCAAGAUGAUAACUUACUUUUUUUAUGAUAUUACAUAUUUACCAAGACUGGGUUCUUUUGCCAUCGUUUCUGAAACAAAUUUGUUCUGAUUUGGUACAAUUUAAUUUAGAGAAAAAUGUGAUUAAUAUAUCUCUUGAUGCUCCUGGACACAUCAUUAGUGACGUAACCUAGGGUCAUUGGUUGUUUUGCAUCACCAGACACCCUCACCCAGGCGACCCAGCAGAGGUUGAUCAGACCUCGAAUUGUGUCCAGGUGGCAUUACUCUGCUCCCUAUGGAUUUCCUCAUGAUCCAGAGCCAUCUUGAGGCUCUAUCAGCUGCCUUGAUGGUGUUGCUGAUUUGUUGUCCUCAUGAGAGGGAUUGUCCAGCAAAACUUACCUUACCUCCCUACUUCUGGCAGUCGAUGAGAAAUCCCUCAUACUUGGCCCUCUUCCUCUCGUACGCCUCCUCCAGAAGAUCUCCCCAAGGACUGUCAGCUCCAGAAUGAUAAUGGUCUUUGGGGUAUCUGAGAUCAGGGUGAUGUCUGGGCUCAGAGUUUUCUUGACAAUGUGCUACGGGAACUUGAGCUGCUUCUUCAAGUCUGAAAAGAGAGAUCACAUGCUUUUAUUCAUAUAUCUGUUUAUCAUAGCCCUUAGCAAAUAACAAGCAUGUUAAAACUUGACUUAGGUCCACCCAGUUCACAAAACUGGAUCACUCCCUUCAGACAGUUAGUCACAUGGCCAUGGCUUACUACAGUGUAUAAAACAGGCAGAUAGGCAUCGAGGUAUUCAGUUACUGUUCGACUGAAUGUUAGAAUGUGACUCACCACCUGGAUUCGGUCUUAUGUAGCAAAAUGUGAAAGUGUUUUUUACAUUGAAUAAAAGUAGAGAUGCAGAGCUACAAAAUGGCAUCUCAUACACUGCAAUUGAGGAACAAUGGGAAAAUAAUUCUGCUUUGAAAGUUGAUCAGCUUGUAAACUCACUUUUGAGAAAAUCGCCUUUGAAUGUUUUGGUACAGUGCCUUGCGAAAGUAUUCGGCCCCCUUGAACUUUGCAAC